rnacentral:rRNA from 1 species
GAUGAACGCUAGCGGCGUGCUUUAUGCAUGCAAGUCGAACGAUUUCGAUUUAUCGAGAUAGUGUGCGAACGGGUGAGUAACACGUAAGCAACCUGCCCCUAAGUAGAGGAUAACUCUGAGAAAUUGGAGCUAAUACUGUAUGUGGUGGUGGGGGUAAGGCUCCAUCACUAAAGCCUUCGGGUGCUUGGGGAGGGGCUUGCGUCCGAUUAGCUAGUUGGUAAGGUAACGGCCUACCAAGGCGACGAUCGGUAGCUGGUUUAAGAGGAUGUCCAGCCACAUUGGGACUGAGACACGGCCCAGACUCCUACGGGAGGCAGCAGCAAGGAAUAUUGUGCAAUGGGCGAAAGCCUGACACAGCGACACCGCGUGGGGGAUGACGGCCUUCGGGUUGUAAACCCCUUUUCCCAGGGAAGAAUAAUGACGGUACCUGGGGAAUAAGUCUUGGCUAACUACGUGCCAGCAGCCGCGGUAAUACGUAGAAGGCAAGCGUUAUCCGGAUUUAUUGGGCGUAAAGAGGGUGUAGGCGGUUCUUCAAGUCGGAUGUAAAAUCUCCCGGCUCAACUGGGAGGGAUCAUUCGAUACUGUUGGGCUAGAGUGCAGCAGGGGGAGAUGGAAUUCCCGGUGUAGUGGUGAUAUGCGUAGAUAUCGGGAGGAACACCUGUGGCGAAGGCGGUCUUCUGGGCUGUUACUGACGCUGAGACCCGAAGGCGUGGGGAGCGAACAGGAUUAGAUACCCUGGUAGUCCACGCAGUAAACGAUGGACACUAGGUAUGGGGGGUAUCGACCCCCUCCGUGCCGAAGUUAACGCAUUAAGUGUCCCGCCUGGGGAGUACGGUCGCAAGACUAAAACUCAAAGGAAUUGACGGGGGCCC